CUGUGUGGCUUAAUGGUGGUGGAGGUCAUUCUGUAGACUGCCUCCAGUGCUCGUGCCACGGCAUUCACCGCCACUACUCCAGACCGUUCACCAUCGCCUUACGAGUCCGUUCAACAAUGGAGGGGGCGUCGUGCUGCUGGUGGACGUGGUGUUGCGCUGGGGUCCUCGAUAGUUAGGGCUCCUUCAUAGAGGAGCACAGGCGGCGGCUGGCAAAAAUGCACGACACAGCGCUCCACCGGCCUUCCUCCUCUCGUUGGGAGGCUAUCAGCCUGUUGUUGACUCAUUCUGUGUGCGUUGGAAGAGAACUCACUCGUCCGAGCUGCUAAAUUUCUUGCAUCUGAGUGCAUCACAAAAAGUGGCAAAAAGAAAAUGGAUAAAAAAGGAGGAUCUUGCCAAUAAAGGUUCACAUCAGGUCAGAUUUUGAAAUGCUAUUGGGGAAGGUCUGGUGUUUAGUUGGUGGCUGUGUGGUACCUACACCGGGCACUUUCCAUCAAGACCUUCAAGAAGAGAUAUCAUCUCAAGGUAUUUUCAAUAUUUUUUGGCAAAAUGGUCAUGGAAGUUGAAAAAAUGCCAUGGAAUUCUUGUCAAGACAUCCGGAAGUUCAACAUUAAAAGAUACUUAAGUACAUGUAUGUGCUGACAAGUUGAACCCAGUCAUUUUACAUUUAAUGUCUUUGGUCUUGUUCUUGUCGAAUUUUGUAUAAUGUUUUGGGAUAUUUGCUCGACUCAAGUCUCCCAGUUGGGGCCACUAGAUGAUAUAAGUUCAUGUCGUGGAUAGGUGAUGGAUAAAAAGGUGCUAAUUGCAGCAGUUCAAAGACUCUUUUUAACACUACAGUAGCACUUCAAAUGAUGUUGUUGGGCGACAAUGUUUAUGUUUUUUGUAGUACAAGUUACAAAAGUGUUGGACAUAUCACUUGUGAACUACUUUGGUUCUGAGAAAGAGCUCCUCGAAUGCAUGUCACAUGUUUUUGCUUGA